UCAGAACGAACGCUGGCGGCGUGCUAACACAUGCAAGUCGAACGCGAAAGGGACUUCGGUCCUGAGUAAAGUGGCGCACGGGUGAGUAACGCGUAGAUAACCUGUCUUCAUGUCUGGAAUAAUACGCCGAAAGGGGUACUAAUACCGGAUAUUCUUGCUUUUCAUAAGUUAUGCAAGCAAAGGUGGCCUCUGCAUAUGCUACUGCAUGAAGAGGGGUCUGCGUACCAUUAGCUAGUAGGUGGGGUAAUGGCCUACCUAGGCGACGAUGGUUAGCGGGUCUGAGAGGAUGAUCCGCCACACUGGCACUGGAACACGGGCCAGACUCCUACGGGAGGCAGCAGUGAGGAAUAUUGCGCAAUGGGGGAAACCCUGACGCAGCGACGCCGCGUGAAGUGAGGAAGGCCUUCGGGUCGUAAAGCUCUGUCAAGAGGAAAGAAGUGUACAAUGGCUAAUACCUGUUGUAUUUGACGGUACCUCUAAAGGAAGCACCGGCUAACUCCGUGCCAGCCGCGGC
rnacentral:rRNA from 1 species